CUUUCCUUCCGAAUUCCCCGCUUUUGGGAGGAAAGAAAAGUGAUAUUUUAUUAAAGAGUCUUUACUUCCAAUUCCUCCCAUUUCCUUUCACUUAAUUUUUUUUUAAUGAACCAAACAUUGGAAAGUAAUAAAUUUCCUUCCACUUCCUUUCCUUUCCUUCCAAAUUCCUUCUACCAAACAAAUUGAAAAAUUAAAAAAAUGAAGUGAUGAAUGUUAGUAUCAAAAUAGAAAGUGUUCCUAUUCCUCUCAACUGACCACGUUCACCAACACUAUUAGUAUCAAAAAUCAAAACACCCAAAAACAAUCGAAUUUCAAUGCAAGUUCACGCAAUUCUGGCAAAUUCCACAAUCUCAUCAAAUUUCCAUCAUCAUCUUUCCAAUUACAAUCUUAAUUUGGUGAAAAAUCGUCGCAUCUCUGUUACUUUCUUCCUCUCUUUCUCAAUUUCAUCAGUUUUUACGAAAAGAAGUAAAUCCACCAUGAUUACUUCCAGUAGUAGUAGCAGCAGCAGCCAUGGCAGUGGAGCUUUCAAAACCCUAGCUGAGAGAGUAACUUUUGAGAAAGAGAUUAAAAAGAGCAAAUUCAUCGCCAUUGCUGCUCCAGUUUACAAGGAACAAUCUGCGAAUUCCUUUCUUUCCGAGGUGCGAGAUAAUCGCGCUUCUCACAAUUGUUGGGCUUAUAAGAUUGGAGAUCAAUAUCGAUGUAGUGAUGAUGGUGAGCCGUCGAGUACUGCUGGCAAGCCUAUAUAUUCAGCUAUUGCUUCCUCGGGUAUUGAUAGAGUCAUGGUGGUUGUAAUACGGUAUUUUGGUGGUAUCAAAUUAGGUACUGGAGGGCUUGUUAGAGCUUAUGGUGGGGUCACAUCAGAGUGCUUGAAAAAUGCGACGACUUGUUUAGUGAAAUCAAAAGUUCCUAUGGGUGUAGAGGUUUCCUUCGAUCUCUUGGGGCUUCUGUACCAUCAGCUCCAAUCCUUUCAAGCAGCAGAUGUCAAACAAGAUUAUGAAACUGGUAAAGAUGAUACAACGAUGGUGACUUUUAAGAUGGAUUUUGACAAAGUUGACAGUCUAGAAGAUGCUGUUAAAGCUAGUUGUGGCAGAGAUAUAGUCUUUUUUAAGCACUGAAAUGGCAAGGUUGAAAAGUGCAUUGACUUAUUAUGCUUGAGCAGAAAAAUUGCUGGUUGUAUCACUAUUCUCUUUCAGUAUGAGGCUAUGAGCUACUAGAUAAUCAUCAUGCAUCGAUGUUCUAUUUUGCUAUGAGCCGCUACCAGCUGGACCAACUGAGGUGGUGGAAUGUUAGGGUCGGUGGCGUAGGUGGAGUACAUUUGUUAGUGCUACUCCAUCAUGGAUAGAAAUAGGCAGAGUAAGGGACUUCGGCAACUUUCUCAUCAGUGGUAUUAUAAGAGGGAGAAAGAAUUCAGGGGUGGUGGUGCCAAUUGGUGGCGAUCCAGCGGGUAAAGCUGUAGGGACUUUCAGGCGAUGUUUUUGGGACUUGAGUAUUCAUGCUGGAUAUAGGUUGGUGUUCAAGUGUCUUAUUUGUCUAUAUUAUAAGAAAUUUCUGUGAUUUGGGCAUAAGACGUGUCAAAUUGUCCAUAUACAUUCAGAGAGUCAAGAAUCUGACAUUGAUAUCUGUGGUAAGAUGAAGCUAAGAGUUUGAAUAAUAUAGGGAAAAACUUUAUCUACCCACUGGGUCAACAACCCACUACUAAUAGAAAUGAAUAAAUAGUGGAAUUCAAUUCAUCAGUUCUAAUAGUUUUUUAAUUUCUAGUGGAUAACUACCUACUGGGUAGAUAUAGCAUUGCCCAAUAAUAUAGCUUGAGAGCGAGGAGUACUCGUAGAAAGAGCCUUGUUUGGAAAUUGGAACACAACUACAUCUUAUCUGUAAAACAUCUUUUCCGAAUAUGGAUUGGAACAAAUUUGCCGAAGUCAAAAAAUUGGCAACAGGAUUAGCAUUAUGCGUAUGACUAAUGAUGAUGUUGGAGCUUAAUUAUUGUGGACUACUGUAUCAUUAUCUUAGAAAUAAAUAUCCAAAUUAAAGAAUCCCACGUAAAGUUUCUUUCUCUAUUUUUUUAUCCAUAUGAGUCAUAAAGGCAGUACAAAUAAGGAGAGGGGGAUUCGAACUUGUGAACUCUCGUUCACAGCACCUCAAUCUUAAUUACAAUCUUAAUUACUAGGCUAAGACAUCGUUGAUAAGUUUCUGUGCACUAUGGAUGGGGAAGGAAAAUUAAAGAAAGGAUUUAACUUUUUUUCUCUCCUUAUCAAAAAAAAAAAAAAAAGAUUUAACUGCCUUAUAAUUAGUGUGGAUUUAUUACUAUCUAUUUAAUUUUUUUUUUUGAAAAUAAAAUUAAUUCAUUGAUUCAAAGUCAUACGACAUCUACAAUAGAAGUAGAAACUAAAAAAUACAUAUCAAAAUGAAAUAAAUACAAUUCUAAUAUGAUAAAACCACGAUCGUUGAGUAGAUAUAACACUUCUGAACACCCUCGUCUCUUACAUCGCUGUCUGAUACAGCCUUCUGCAAGGGGGUCGGUCGAUCUUUUGUAGUUUUGAAGUAGAACUGGAUUUAAUUCAAUUGAUUGUAAAUGAAGUCUUGACAUCUGUUGCAACUCCGCACAAAUUUCGAUCAACAAAUUAACAUCUAGAAUUACACAAAAAUCCAAAAACAUCUCCAAACUCUCACAUGGAGAGAGAUAAAACCCAAUAUAUGGGUAGAAAAACUCUCCAUUAGAGAGAGACUAAAAUUUAUUAGAAACAUAAAUAUAAAAAAACUAGUAACAAAAGGAGAAAAGGGGGCUUACCACCGCCCAAAAGGGUGGUGGUAGCCCCUAGGUUGAAAAUUAGGGUUUUAUGGGCGAGAAGAGAGAAGAGAGAAAAAAAGUUGAGAGGAGGCGGCUCAUCCCCGGAUUUUAGAUUAAUAGUAAGGUGGGUUUGAAGUCACACAGGAGAGAGAAGAGAGAAAAUUAGGGUAUUACUAUCUAUUUAAUUAGUUAUUGUUUAAUUGAUAUUUUUGCUGAACUGUGUAGCUGGGUUUGAAGUCCCAACUGACAAGAGAGGAAUUAAAUGUGACUAACGACGGUACUACUUUCCUCUACACAAUAGUAAUCUUUCGCAGUGAAAAGGUGCAAAGUGAAACCAUUCACUUUCGAAUGAUAGAGUUAUCACCAUGAAUUUUUAUGUUAAAUUUUGGUUAGAAGAUUACACAAAAACAUAUUACUAUCACCACCU